rnacentral:rRNA from 1 species
CAGUCGAGCGGACAGAAGGGAGCUUGCUCCCGGAUGUUAGCGGCGGACGGGUGAGUAACACGUGGGUAACCUGCCUGUAAGACUGGGAUAACUCCGGGAAACCGGAGCUAAUACCGGAUAGUUCCUUGAACCGCAUGGUUCAAGGAUGAAAGACGGUUUCGGCUGUCACUUACAGAUGGACCCGCGGCGCAUUAGCUAGUUGGUGAGGUAACGGCUCACCAAGGCGACGAUGCGUAGCCGACCUGAGAGGGUGAUCGGCCACACUGGGACUGAGACACGGCCCAGACUCCUACGGGAGGCAGCAGUAGGGAAUCUUCCGCAAUGGACGAAAGUCUGACGGAGCAACGCCGCGUGAGUGAUGAAGGUUUUCGGAUCGUAAAGCUCUGUUGUUAGGGAAGAACAAGUGCAAGAGUAACUGCUUGCACCUUGACGGUACCUAACCAGAAAGCCACGGCUAACUACGUGCCAGCAGCCGCGGUAAUACGUAGGUGGCAAGCGUUGUCCGGAAUUAUUGGGCGUAAAGGGCUCGCAGGCGGUUUCUUAAGUCUGAUGUGAAAGCCCCCGGCUCAACCGGGGAGGGUCAUUGGAAACUGGGAAACUUGAGUGCAGAAGAGGAGAGUGGAAUUCCACGUGUAGCGGUGAAAUGCGUAGAGAUGUGGAGGAACACCAGUGGCGAAGGCGA